rnacentral:rRNA from 1 species
UACGGGGGGGGCAAGCGUUGUCCGGAAUUAUUGGGCGUAAAGAGCUCGUAGGCGGUCUGUCGCGUCUGCCGUGAAAACCCGAGGCUUAACCUCGGGCUGGCGGUGGAUACGGGCAGACUAGAGGUAGGUAGGGGAGAAUGGAAUUCCCGGUGUAGCGGUGAAAUGCGCAGAUAUCGGGAGGAACACCGGUGGCGAAGGCGGUUCUCUGGGCCUUACCUGACGCUGAGGAGCGAAAGCCGUGGGGAGCAAACAGGG